UACGUAGGGUGCGAGCGUUGUCCGGAAUUACUGGGCGUAAAGAGCUCGUAGGUGGUUUGUCGCGUUGUUCGUGAAAACUCACAACUCAAUUGUGGGCGUGCGGGCGAUACGGGCAGACUGGAGUACUGCAGGGGAGACUGGAAUUCCUGGUGUAGCGGUGGAAUGCGCAGAUAUCAGGAGGAACACCGGUGGCGAAGGCGGGACUCUGGGCCGAUACUGACGCUGGAGGAGCGAAAGCGUGGGGAGCGAACAGG
rnacentral:rRNA from 1 species